rnacentral:misc_RNA from 1 species
UUGGAGUGGUUCCCAGAGCG